rnacentral:tRNA from 1 species
AGUCCCGGGGUGUUAACACGUCAGAUUGCAAAUCCGAAGAGGCAGACUAAGAAGUCUGCCGGGGCUU